UACAGAGGGUGCAAGCGUUGCUCGGAAUUAUUGGGCGUAAAGGGUAGGUAGGUGGUCUCAUUUGUCAGGGGUGAAAGCCUUGGGCUUAACCCAAGAAGUGCCUUUGAAACGGUGAGACUGGAGUCCUGGAGAGGGUCGUGGAAUUCCCGGUGUAGCGGUGAAAUGCGUAGAGAUCGGGAGGAAUACCAGCGGCGAAGGCGGCGACCUGGACAGGUACUGACACUCAACUACGAAAGCGUGGGGAGCAAACAGG
rnacentral:rRNA from 1 species